rnacentral:lncRNA from 1 species
UUCAUUUUUAUUCGAUAUUACUAAACGUUCGAUAAAAUUACAAUAAAUGAAGAACAGGUGGCUAAUCGAGUUCAUUCAUCCGAAGAACCUCCCAAACCCAUACCAAAAAUAGCAUUCCUAAAGUCUUACAUAUUAUUUGUGCUUUUAAUUCUCUAUCUUGGAUAUAAUUCAGAAAUUGAUGCUUCAUUUAUAGAGAAGGCUGUUGAGGACGAUGUAGAUUUGUCUGAAUCUUGUACUUUGGGC